GAUGAACGCUGGCGGCGUGCUUAACACAUGCAAGUCGAACGGUGAACGAGGGAGCUUGCUCCCUCCGGAUCAGUGGCGAACGGGUGAGUAACACGUGAGCAAUCUGCCCUGGACUCUGGGAUAAGCGUUGGAAACGACGUCUAAUACCGGAUACGAGGCGUGGGGGCAUCCCCAACGCCUGGAAAGAACUUCGGUCCAGGAUGAGCUCGCGGCCUAUCAGCUAGUUGGUGAGGUAACGGCUCACCAAGGCGACGACGGGUAGCCGGCCUGAGAAGGUGACCGGCCACGCUGGGACUGAGACACGGCCCAGACUCCUACGGGAGGCAGCAGUGGGGAAUAUUGCACAAUGGGCGCAAGCCUGAUGCAGCAACGCCGCGUGAGGGACGACGGCCUUCGGGUUGUAAACCUCUUUUAGCAGGGAAGAAGCGAAAGUGACGGUACCUGCAGAAAAAGCACCGGCUAACUACGUGCCAGCCGCCGCCGUAAGAC
rnacentral:rRNA from 1 species